UACGGAGGGUGCAAGCGUUAUCCGGAUUUACUGGGUUUAAAGGGUGCGUAGGUGGGUAGGUAAGUCAGUGGUGAAAUCUUCAAGCUUAACUUGGAAACUGCCAUUGAUACUAUUUAUCUUGAAUACUUUGGAGGUAAGCGGAAUAUGUCAUGUAGCGGUGAAAUGCUUAGAUAUGACAUAGAACACCAAUUGCGAAGGCAGCUUACUACACAGUAAUUGACACUGAGGCACGAAAGCGUGGGGAUCAAACAGG
rnacentral:rRNA from 1 species